UUGACCUCAAAUCAGGUAGGACUACCCGCUGAACUUAAGCAUAUCACUA
rnacentral:rRNA from 1 species